UAUCUGUGAUGAUCCUAUCCCGAACCUGAAUUCCUGUUGAAAAAAAUAACAUUUACGGAUCUGGCUUCUGAGAU
ensembl:snoRNA